rnacentral:rRNA from 1 species
UUAAUUGAAGAGUUUGAUCAUGGCUCAGAUUGAACGCUGGCGGCAGGCCUAACACAUGCAAGUCGAGCGGCAGCACAGAGAAACUUGUUUCUCGGGUGGCGAGCGGCGGACGGGUGAGUAAUGCCUGGGAAAUUGCCCUGAUGUGGGGGAUAACCAUUGGAAACGAUGGCUAAUACCGCAUGAUAGCUUCGGCUCAAAGAGGGGGACCUUCGGGCCUCUCGCGUCAGGAUAUGCCCAGGUGGGAUUAGCUAGUUGGUGAGGUAAGGGCUCACCAAGGCGACGAUCCCUAGCUGGUCUGAGAGGAUGAUCAGCCACACUGGAACUGAGACACGGUCCAGACUCCUACGGGAGGCAGCAGUGGGGAAUAUUGCACAAUGGGCGCAAGCCUGAUGCAGCCAUGCCGCGUGUGUGAAGAAGGCCUUCGGGUUGUAAAGCACUUUCAGUCGUGAGGAAGGUGGUAGUGUUAAUAGCACUAUCAUUUGACGUUAGCGACAGAAGAAGCACCGGCUAACUCCGUGCCAGCAGCCGCGGUAAUACGGAGGGUGCGAGCGUUAAUCGGAAUUACUGGGCGUAAAGCGCAUGCAGGUGGUUUGUUAAGUCAGAUGUGAAA